GUAGGUGGCAAGCGUUGUCCAGAAUUAUUGGGCGUAAAGCGCGCGCAGGUGGUUCUUUAAGUCUGAUGUGAAAGCCCCCGGGCUCAACCGGGGAGGGUCAUUGGAAACUGGGGAACUUGAGUGCAGGAGAGGAAAGUGGAAUUCCACGUGUAGCGGUGAAAUGCGUAGAUAUGUGGAGGAACACCAGUGGCGAAGGCGACUUUCUGGCCUGUAACUGACACUGAGGCGCGAAAGCGUGGGGAGCAAACAGGAUUAGAUACCCUGGUAGUCCACGCCGUAAACGAUGAGUGCUAAGUGUUGGGGGGUUUCCGCCCCUCAGUGCUGCAGCUAACGCAUUAAGCACUCCGCCUGGGGAGUACGGUCGCAAAGACUG
rnacentral:rRNA from 1 species